rnacentral:rRNA from 10 species
AACCCUAGACAGGGGAUCACUUGGCUCAUGGGUCGAUGAAGACCGCAGCAAACUGCGCGUCGCCAUGUGAACUGCAGGACACA